rnacentral:rRNA from 1 species
GUCUAACAUAUGUGCAAGUCAUUGAGUUAUAUUAAACUUAAUGGCAUAAUUAACUUAACUUAUAUAUAAUGGGAUUAAUUUUUAGUCUAUUUUUUUAAAUAGUCAAUUAAUUCAAUCCCGGGGCGUUCCAUAUAGUUAUGUAUAAUAAUAAUUUAUUAUUAUUUAUACCUCUAACUGGAGCGUACCUUGAGCAUAUAUGCUGUGACCCGAAAGAUGGUGAACUAUACUUGAUCAGGUUGAAGUCAGGGGAAACCCUGAUGGAAGACCGAAACAGUUCUGACGUGCAAAUCGAUUGUCAGAA